CUAUCUUGAAACAGGAAAUAAACAUCCUGUUGUGAGAAGAGAAUUGGAAUGAUGCGUGAUGCCUCUUUUGUAAUUUACUCAACUUGGUAGAAUAUAUUAUGUAGGAAAGACUUUUAGAGCAUUAAAGCAAAGAUGACCAGCCAUAAAUCAACCUCUAUGAGAGCAUGCUGAAUCCCUGUUGAAUAGCACUUAGAUCAUUCUUGUUCAGCUUGAGUGUUGGUAAUCUUUUGCCUAUAGAACUGAAGAAAAAUUAGCGAAUUUAGAAAUUAUUUACAAGUUCAACAGAUCGUUUGGGUCUGCAUUUUGUUGAUCUUCAUAUGAAUAUUUGAAUAAUUCAUACUUUUUGUCACGUACUGCUCUAUGUUUAGAAGGUGUUUCCUUAAAUGUCAGAAGUGUCUGUCUACAGAACGUACGUGGGGCAGUCUUUUGUAAAGAGGAGAUUGCCUUUUAUCGGCAUGCAGAAAAGUCUUUGAUAUCUGGGGUCUUGAGCUUACUCUGGGACUGGCUUGUGCAAUGUGGAGGUUGCUGAGAUGAGUCACUGUGUGGAAAUCCUUGUAGAUUCUGCAUACAUCUGGAUAGGCACUUACCCAUGUAUGCUCCUGGAGGGCAGAUAUUUCACCGAACCACAGGCUGGAAGGACCUCUGGAUCCAUCUGGUCCAACACCUGCUCACGCAAGGACACCCAAAGCAGGAUGCCCAGGCCCAUGUCUAGGUGGCUUCUGAGGAUCUCCUUUUCCUUUCUCCUGUUUAUAGUGUAUUUAUAUGUUAAAUUGGAAAGACAUUUCUGACACCCACAUGUUCAGCCACUGAAAGUGAGCCCUUGUGGUUCUUAAAAGAAACUGCUUCC
rnacentral:lncRNA from 1 species